rnacentral:rRNA from 1 species
UACGUAGGGAGCAAGCGUUGUCCGGAAUCAUUGGGCGUAAAGCGCGUGUAGGCGGCUGGGUAAGUCUGCUGUGAAAGCCCGGGGCUCAACCUCGGGAGGCGGGUGGAUACUGCUGAGCUCGAGUCCGGAAGAGGCGAGUGGAAUUCCUGGUGUAGCGGUGAAAUGCGCAGAUAUCAGGAGGAACACCAAUGGCGAAGGCAGCUCGCUGGGACGGUACUGACGCUGAGACGCGAAAGCGUGGGGAGCAAACAGG